rnacentral:rRNA from 1 species
CGCUGGCGGCGUGCUUAACACAUGCAAGUCGAACGAACCUUCGGGUUAGUGGCGGACGGGUGAGUAACGCGUGAGAAUCUGCCCUCAGGAGGGGGAUAACGGCUGGAAACGGCCGCUAAUACCCCAUAUGCCGCGAGGUGAAAUGAAUUUCGCCUGAGGAUGAGCUCGCGUCUGAUUAGCUAGUUGGUGGGGUAAAGGCCUACCAAGGCAUCGAUCAGUAGCUGGUCUGAAAGGAUGAUCAGCCACACUGGGACUGAAACACGGCCCAGACUCCUACGGGAGGCAGCAGUGGGGAAUUUUCCGCAAUGGGCGAAAGCCUGACGGAACAACGCCGCGUGAGGGAUGAAGGCCUCUGGGCUGUAAACCUCUUUUAUCAAGGAAGAAGAUCUGACGGUACUUGAUGAAUAAGCCACGGCUAAUUCCGUGCCAGCAGCCGCGGUAAUACGGGAGUGGCAAGCGUUAUCCGGAAUUAUUGGGCGUAAAGCGUCCGCAGGCGGCCCUUCAAGUCUGCUGUUAAAAAGUGGAACUUAACUCCAUCAUGGCAGUGGAAACUGUUGGGCUUGAGUGUGGUAGGGCAGAAGGAAUUCCCGGUGUAGCGGUGAAAUGCGUAGAUAUCGGGAAGAACACCAGUGGCGAAGGCGCUCUGCUGGGCCAUCACUGACGCUCAUGGACGAAAGCCAGGGGAGCGAAAGGGAUUAGAUACCCUGUAGUCCUGGCCGUAAACGAUGAACACUAGGUGUCGGGGGAAUCGACCCCCUCGGUGUCGUAGCCAACGCGUUAAGUGUUCCGCCUGGGGAGUACGCACGCAAGUGUGAAACUCAAAGGAAUUGACGGGGGCCCGCACAAGCGGUGGAGUAUGUGGUUUAAUUCGAUGCAACGCGAAGAACCUUACCAGGGUUUGACAUCCUGCGAAUUUCUGGGAAACCGGAAAGUGCCUUCGGGAGCGCAGUGACAGGUGGUGCAUGGCUGUCGUCAGCUCGUGUCGUGAGAUGUUGGGUUAAGUCCCGCAACGAGCGCAACCCACGUCUUUAGUUGCCAGCAUUCAGUUGGGCACUCUAGAGAGACCGCCGGUGAUAAACCGGAGGAAGGUGUGGAUGACGUCAAGUCAUCAUGCCCCUUACAUCCUGGGCUACACACGUACUACAAUGCUACGGACAAAGGGCAGCAAGUUCGCGAGGACAAGCAAAUCCCAUAAACCGUGGCUCAGUUCAGAUCGUAGGCUGCAACUCGCCUACGUGAAGGAGGAAUCGCUAGUAAUCGCAGGUCAGCAUACUGCGGUGAAUACGUUCCCGGGCCUUGUACACACCGCCCGUCACACCAUGGAAGUUGGCCACGCCCGAAGCCGUUACUCCAACCCUUGUGGAGGAGGACGUCGAAGGUGGGGCUGAUGACUGGGGUGA